UAUGGGGGGGGCAAGCGUUGUUCGGAAUUACUGGGCGUAAAGGGCUCGUAGGCGGCCAACUAAGUCGGACGUGAAAUCCCCAGGCUCAACCUGGGAACUGCGUCCGAUACUGGAUGGCUUGAAUUCGGGAGAGGGAUGCAGAAUUCCAGGUGUAGCGGUGAAAUGCGUAGAUAUCUGGAGGAAUACCGGUGGCGAAGGCGGCAUCCUGGACCGACAUUGACGCUGAGGAGCGAAAGCUAGGGGAGCAAACGGG
rnacentral:rRNA from 1 species